rnacentral:rRNA from 1 species
GACGGAGGAUGCAAGUGUUAUCCGGAAUCACUGGGCGUAAAGCGUCUGUAGGUGGUUCGAAAAGUCCACUGUUAAAAAUUGAGGCUUAACUUCAAAGAUGCCGUGGAAACUUUCAAACUAGAGUAUGGUAGGGGUAGAGGGAAUUUCCAGUGGAGCGGUGAAAUGCGUAGAUAUCGGGAGGAACACCUAUGGCGAAGGCAGCUCGCUGGGACGUUACUGACGCUGAGACGCGAAAGCGUGGGGAGCAAACAGG